rnacentral:rRNA from 1 species
UACGAAGGGUGCAAGCGUUACUCGGAACUACUGGGCGUAAAGCGUGCGUAGGGGGUUUGUUAAGUCUGUUGUGAAAGCCCCGGGCUCAACCUGGGAAUGGCAAUGGAUACUGGCAAGCUAGAGUGCGGUAGAGGGUAGUGGAAUUCCCGGUGUAGCGGUGAAAUGCGUAGAUAUCUGGAGGAACACCGGUGGCGAAGGCGGCAUCCUGGACCGACACUGACACUGAGGAGCGAAAGCCAGGGGAGCAAACGGG